GAGUUUGAUCCUUGGCUCAGAUUGAACGCUAUGUAUGCUUUACACAUGCAAGUCGGGAACACAAGCACGGACUUCGGUCUGGUGGCGAGCGGCGAACGGUGAGUAAUGCAUCGGAACGUGCCUAGUAGUGAUAACUACGCGAAAGUGUAGCUAAUACUGUGCAUACGCCCCUUCGGGAAGCGGGGACCUUCGCCUCGCACUAUUAGAGCGGCCGAUAUCGUAUUAGCUUUUAGUUGCGGGGUGCAACGGCUCACCAAGGCGACGAUCCGUAGCUGGUUUGAGAGGACGACCAGCCACACUGGGACUGGAGACACGGCCCAGACUCCUACGGGAGGCAGCAGUGGGAAUUUUGGACAAUGGGGGAAACCCUGAUCCAGCCAUCCUGCAACGCGUGCGAUGAAGGCCUUCGGUUGUAAAGCACUUUUGGCAGGAAAGAAACGGCACGGGAUAAUACCCCGUGCAACUGACGGUACCCGCAGAAUAAGCACCUCGGCUAACUACGCGCUACAGCAGCCGCGGUAAUACGUAGGGUGCAAGCGUUAAUCGGAAUUACUGGGCGUAAAGUGCAGGCGGUUCGGAAAAGAAAGAUGUGAAAUCCCAGAGCUUAACUUGAACUGCAUUUUUUUAACUACCGAGCUAGAGUGUGUCAGAGGGAAAGGAAUUCCGCGUGUAGCAGUGAAAUGCGUAGAUAUGCGGAGGAACACCGAUGGCGAAGGCAGCCUCCUGGGAUAACACUGACGCUCAUGCACGAAAGCGGGGAGCAAAACAGGAUUAGAUACCCUGUAGUCCACGCCCUAAACGAUGUCAACUAGCUGUUAGCCUUCGCUCCUGGCAAGGGCAGCUAACGCGGUGAAGUCGACCGCCUGGGGAGUACGGUCGCAAGAUUAAAACUCAAAGGAAUUGACGGGGACCUGCACAAGUGUGAUAUGGAUUAAUUCGAUGCAACGCGAAAACUCAUCUACCCUUGACAUGUCUGGAAUCCCGUAAAGAGAUUUGGGAGUGCUCGCAAGAGAACCGGAACACAGGCGCUGAUGGCUGUCGUCAGCUCGUCGAUGAUGUUGGGUUAAGUCCUGCAACGAGCGCAACCCUUGUCAUUAGUUGCGCAGCAUGAAAGGGCACUCUAAUGAGACUGCCGGUGACAAACCGGAGGAAGGUGGGGAUGACGUCAAGUCCAUGGCCCUUAUGGGCAGGGGUUUCACACGUCGUAUACAAUGGUCGGGACAGAGGGUCGCCAACCCGCGAGGGGGAGCCAAUCCCAGAAACCCGAUCGUAGUCCGGAUCGCAGUCUGCAACUCGACUGCGUGAAGCCGGAAUCGCUAGUAAUCGCGGAUCAGCAUGUCGCGGUGAAUACGUUCCUGCCCCAGGCACACCGCCCGUCACACCAUGGGAGUGGGUUUUACCAGAAGUAGUUAGCCUAACCGUAAGGAGGGCGAUUACCACGGUAGGAUUCAAGGAUCAAAGAAGUCGUACUUCAAGGUAG
rnacentral:rRNA from 1 species